AGCGAACGCUGGCGGCAGGCCUAACACAUGCAAGUCGAACGGACCCUUCGGGGUUAGUGGCGGACGGGUGAGUAACACGUGGGAACGUGCCUUUAGGUUCGGAAUAGCUCCUGGAAACGGGUGGUAAUGCCGAAUGUGCCCUUCGGGGGAAAGAUUUAUCGCCUUUAGAGCGGCCCGCGUCUGAUUAGCUAGUUGGUAAGGUAAAAGCUUACCAAGGCGACGAUCAGUAGCUGGUCUGAGAGGAUGACCAGCCACAUUGGGACUGAGACACGGCCCAAACUCCUACGGGAGGCAGCAGUGGGGAAUCUUGCGCAAUGGGCGAAAGCCUGACGCAGCCAUGCCGCGUGAAUGAUGAAGGUCUUAGGAUUGUAAAAUUCUUUCACCGGGGACGAUAAUGACGGUACCCGGAGAAGAAGCCCCGGCUAACUUCGUG
rnacentral:rRNA from 1 species